GAUAUUAUCAAAAAACAUGAAACUUCUAAGGGUCAUGUAGGAAGUGUUGAAAAAGAAAAAGUGUCACUACAAAAACCAGGGUCGUCUGACGCGGACAGGGCAGUCCGUUUGAUGGACAAGGCAGUUGUAAAUAAACUCUACUUUCUGUUUAGAAACGCCCACUUUGUGGCUAAGCUGGGCAAACCCUAUACAGAUUAUGUUUCCCUGUGCCAGCUUGACAAGGCCAAGACAAUAGACAUUGGUAACACUUACCUGAAUGACAAAUAUUGCCAAAAAUUUAUUGCCAGCAUAGCAGACCCUUGAGAGAAACGAACAAAAAACUCUGAUAGACAAUGCCUGUUUCUUGUCAGUAAUAUCGGAUGGUGCAACUGACUGUUCUGGCAAAGAGACUGAAAUAGUCUAUGUGCGCACAGCUGAUGGAUGUAAGGUUAGUUAUGGAGUUAAUAUUUUUUUUUAUAUUUCUAAUUUCAUAUUUUAAUUCGUUUUCUUAUUGUUUUAAAUAUUUUCAUUACAGUAGUUUGGUGAUUGAAAUGUGUAUACACAAACACACAAAAUGUAAAACUCUUUCAAAACUAAAUGCUUUAAAGGUGGCACAUGUACUAGUGAAAUCAUUAAUGUAAACUUCAAAUCCUGUACAAAGAUUAUUUCCUUUUUUCCAAUAUAUUUGGUGACAGUUACCUAUUACAAAGUAAAAUGUACUGUUAUAAUUUGCAGGCAUGACCAAUUAAAUAAUUAUAGCUAUACCAAAUUAUGUUGGUCUAUUUCAGUUAAAAACUAUUUUUGCUGGAAUUAAGCAUGUAGCCAAGCCUGACGCACAAAACAUCUCUAGGGCUAUAACACUUAUUCUAGACAGCCGUUUUCCAACUUGGCGGCAGAAGAUUGUGGCUAUGGGGACAGACGGGGCGUCGGUUAUGGUGGGCCAUAAAAGUGGGGUCGUUAAACGCAUUGCAGAGGAGACAAAUAAGCCCUAUCUAAAAGGCAUCCAUUGCUCUGCUCAUAGGCUCGAGCUUGCCUACAAGGAUGGUAUAAAAACGGUGAACGUCCACCAGAAGUGUGAACUCCUCCUUUUGAACCUGUACUUAUUUUACAAGUACAGUCCAUUAAACCGUGCCAACCUCAAGGCUGCAUUUGAAUCUCUUGGCAAACCUCCACUUAUACCAACAAGGAUGGGUGGAACAAGAUGGUUACCCCAUACAAAGCGUGCCCUUCAUAAGGUUAUGGAAGGACAGGAUGGUAUCCGUCUUCAUCUUGAACAGAUGCAGCAAAAUCCAUCUAAAGAAUCAAGCUGUAAAGCGAAGGGAUUCCUGAAGCUUCUCAAUGACAGGAGUGUACAAUAUUGGCUUCACCUCAUGACUGAUGUCAUCGCUUGCUUGUCGAAGGUUUCAGAAGCAAUACAGGAGAAAUCUAGCUCCGUUGCAGAUAUUUUCAAUGAGCUAGACAUAGCAAAGACUGUUCUGAAUAAGUACAAAACAAGAGUUUGGAGACGAACAGGUUGGAAAGUUGAUUGAUCUUUCAAAACCAGCACUGACUUCCUGCUGCUCAGUAGAUACACACAGUAUUGAGCUUGAAUGGACAAAGUUGAAGACAACAUUAUCCACAAGAUUCCGAAUUCUUUAUUUACCAGGAAACAAAGUGUUCAAGAUUUGACAUGGUACUAUCUACAUUCUACCUUUGGAAAGAUCUGCCCAAAUUUUUUCAUUCUAAUAUCUUACCUACUGACAUUGCCAGGAUCAUCUGUUGAUGCUGAGAGGGGCUUCUCAUGUCUGAAAAUGGUAAAAAGUGACUGGAGGUCAAGACUGGGGGAAGAAAAUCUGUCUGAUCAAAUGAUGAUCUACAUAGAGAGUGAUCAAGUUGGAUCCUUCGACCCCAUGCCAGCCAUCCUGCAGUGGUAUUCCGAGGGGAAAAGGGCAAGAAGGCCCUACUACAUGGAUGAGCUAAGGAGAUGCUCUGUACCUAGAGAGCGUGCAAUUGUAGGUCAUGGUGAGAAUGAGUCUAGUGAGGUGCUGGAGGAAAUUCAAAACUACCAGCUGAGUGAGACAGACAUUGGGGACAGUCCGAAUGAAUCUGAUGACAAUAGUGAUGAUGAGGAGGAGGAGGAGGAUAAACUGGCCAAUAACCAGGACCUUAUUGAACUUCAACGGAAGUCUUUUAAACUCCUCAUGGAAAUGAUAUAAUAAAAUAUUUGAACAAA